CGGGCCCUAGGGGAGAGCAGGGAUAAGAGAGGAUCAGCCCACAUAAGAGUGCCUAAUGAGGUUUUGCUGUGCAGUGGUACUCUAGCCUGGCAGCUCAUAGGGCUGUGUGCAGUCCAAACACUGUGAUCCUGGGAGGCACAGGAGGGACCUCUGCUCCCCAAGGUUAGGCAUUAGUCUGUCUUGGAAACAAAGGUCCAGAGAGAUGAAGCAGUGUGCCCAAGGGCACACAGCUCAAGAUUCUAGAGCCUGCAGAUGUGUGUUCCGCACUGCAGCAGUGGAGCUGCUGGCACCAGGGGUAUGGGCCAUGCCAUAUAGCUGCUGGAUGCCUGCAGGGAUACCAGUUCUGAGAGAGAGAGAGAGAGGAGAGAGAGAGGUAGGGGAGCUACAAGGGAGAGCCAGCCUUGUAUCUCCCUAAAGUAGAGCUUUCCUCUGGUGCAUGUUGGACCUUUUAUCCCUGUCCAUUCAUUGGCAGCACUGUCCCUUCCCUGUGGUUGGCCACCCCAGCCCAAGACAAGCUGUGUUACUGAAGCAGAGUAAAGGGGAGGGAGUAGCCGAGGCUCUAUGCCCUCUUGACCAUUAUAUAGGCAAGGAAGCUGAGGCAAGAGUAGGGGUUGGGGGUAGAAUGUCUAUCUAGCUUAGGGCUACCAUGCACUUCCUCUGCAGCUCUGUCUGAACCUGGAAGAAAAGAGCUCUGGGCUCAGUCCCCCAGGGCCACCAAAGCUGCUAGCUUCCUGCCCCUUACACCCUGGCUCUCAGCCCAGCAGCAGAGGAAGUAUACAUGGCCAUGUCUCAGCGCAGACCAGGCUAGAAGGCUGGGCUGGGGUUUAGUCUCCCGUGGAGGACGAGGCACAGCCAGUGGCAGACAGGGGCAGCACAAGCCAGUCCUGUUGAUGCUUGGAGGGUGGGUGACUAUUGCCAUCUAAGGCAUCUCCUCGCUGCGGAGCUGGAUCUGAGUUCCUGGACCCAGCUACGGGGGCACAUGUUUAAAAGUACAGAGCAUGCCCAUGUAUUAUUCUGUCAGCCACUUGCUGUUUUAUUCAAAUAAAUCAGAAACCUGCACCUCGUGAACUUUUACCGGAAGGCUCAGAGCCACUGCUCAUUCUUAAGAACCCCUGUGGUGUUCAUGGCAAUUGGCUCACUGGGUAGGAAAGAUAAACAACUGGCUGGGAUAGCGGGAGAAUCAGGCUGCUGAUUAUGUGGGGCACCACCCUGCCAGGGCUAUGUUUGGCAUUCCUGGGCUUCCUUGUGUGUGGUGUCCGUAUACGGGCCAACCAUGAGGGUCUGGUUGAGGUUUGGUCUUUCCCCUGUGGCUCUUGUAGACCAACUCUUCAGAGACCCCAUUCACACAGCAUAUACGGAGCCAGCAAGAUAAGGCCUACUAGCUGGGAACUCCCAGUGACCAUGUACCAUGAGCUCACGACAGUCCAGCCAGGUGGCUUCCACGUCACCUGCUUGCUGCCACGUGGCUUGUCCUAGAGCAGAGAGUGGAGAUAAGCUGGUUCUGCAGGGGAACCCUGGAGUCCUGGCAGAAGACACCUGCACCUGUGGUCUCAGUUUUCCAUAUACCAGCAGGCCCCGGAGGAGUGAGUUCAACUCGACCCCACCUGACAUCCAGGGCCAGCUCCCUGCCUGGCCCAGCCUCCACUGGGUCUGUGGAGGUGUGUCUAGGGUCAGAGAAGGGCCUUGGCAUUCAUCUCACAUGCUACCCCUCAAGUCAUCAUUUGUCUCUCCCUCCUGGCUCCAACUCCCCCUACCCCCAGCCUAGGAUGACGUCAGGCACUUUAAAUUCUCCUGUGGAUCUGAGCCUGCUCCUGUUCCCCUAACAAAGAGGCAUGGAAACCGUGUCAAAUGAUAGAGUCAAGACUACCGGCUCUCCACUCAGGGUGGUGUGACUCAGUUUCCUUCCUGGAUACGAACCCUGGAUAUCUGAUAUGAAUGGGAGCGUUGGGGGAGAUUUCCCUUUCUACUUAUCCCCAUGGUGGGCAGCCCCCAACUUAAGAGAAGCCUGGGGAAGCAGCCGGCCAUAUCUACGUGUGCUCCCCCCUUCUUCUCUAAGGGGAGAGGAAGAACUGCCUGGCGGCUGAUAGGGCCAUGGGGCAGGAGGCGACUCCUUCCUCAGGCUGCGGGGAGAACUGGGGCCCAUCAGCCGAACUUGAUAAGAGCCCGCUGAAUGUUAGCAAAAAUAUUUAGACAAUAAACGAAGUAUCGCAAAGGCGCCCA